UACGUAGGGUGCAAGCGUUAUCCGGAAUUAUUGGGCGUAAAGAGCUCGUCGGCGGUUUGUCACGUCUGCUGUGAAAACUGGAGGCUCAACCUCCAGCCUGCAGUGGGUACGGGCAGACUAGAGUGCGGUAGGGGAGAUUGGAAUUCCUGGUGUAGCGGUGGAAUGCGCAGAUAUCAGGAGGAACACCGGUGGCGAAGGCGGAACUCUGGGCCGAUACUGACGCUGAGGAGCGAAAGCGUGGGGAGCGAACAGG
rnacentral:rRNA from 1 species